rnacentral:rRNA from 1 species
UACGUAGGGUCCGAGCGUUGUUCGGAAUUAUUGGGCGUAAAGCGCGUGUAGGCGGCGUGGCAAGUCGGGUGUGAAAGCCCUCAGCUCAACUGAGGAAGUGCGCCCGAAACUGCUGUGCUUGAGUGCCGGAGAGGGUGGCGGAAUUCCCCAAGUAGAGGUGAAAUUCGUAGAUAUGGGGAGGAACACCGGUGGCGAAGGCGGCCACCUGGACGGUAACUGACGCUGAGACGCGAAAGCGUGGGGAGCAAACAGG